UACGUAGGGGGCAAGCGUUGUCCGGAAUUACUGGGCGUAAAGCGCGCGUAGGCGGACCUGCAAGUCGGGGGUGAAAGCCCGAGGCUCAACCUCGGAACUGCCUUCGAUACUGCGGGUCUCGAGUCCGGGAGAGGUGAGUGGAAUUCCUAGUGUAGAGGUGAAAUUCGUAGAUAUCAGGUGGAACACCAGUGGCGAAGGCGGCUUUCUGGACGGUAACUGACGCUGAGACGCGAAAGCGUGGGGAGCAAACAGG
rnacentral:rRNA from 1 species